rnacentral:misc_RNA from 1 species
GGCAACUGCUGGUAUGGAGAGGAAAAUAAAGAUUUGGGAUUUGAGGAAGUUUGAGGUUCUACAAACAUUAACAGGUCACUGCAAGUCCUUGGAUUUUAGUCAAAAAGGUUUGCUUGCUACUGGAACCGGAUCUUUUGUACAAGUUUAUGGAGAUCUUUCUGGAUCCCAGAAUUAUAGCCGUUAUAUGACCCACUCUGUUGCGAAAGGAUACCAAGUAAAGAAGGUGACAUUCAGACCAUACGAAGAUGUUCUAGGCAUAGGACACUCGAUGGGUUGGUCUUCUAUCUUAAUUCCAGGAUCCGGAGAACCCAACUUUGAUUCUUGGGUGGCAAAUCCGUUUGAAACAUCUAAACAAAGAAGAGAGAAGGAAAUCCGCUCUCUUCUUGAUAAGCUCCCUCCAGAGACCAUCAUGUUGGAUCCAACAAAGAUUGGUUCAGUGCGACCAGAAAGGAAGAAGGAAAAGCCAUCAAAGGAGGAUAGAGAAGCAGAAAUGGAAGCUGCUAUCGAGGAAGCUAAAAAUAUUCAUAUGAAGAAGAAAACAAAAGGUAGAAGCAAGCCUAGUAAGAUUGCAAAGAAGAAACAAGAAGCUGUUGAAAAAGCUAAGAAACCUUUCUUGGAGCAACACACGAAUAAGAAGAGGAAACCCACCGAGGAAACUCAGCUUCCAAAAUCUUUAGAACGUUUCGUUAGAAAGAAGGUAGCAGCAUGAUCAGUUUUGUCCACUAGACUGUUCUUACCCUUUCUUUGCAUUUGCAUUUGCAUUUGAUUCUUGUUUUGGCUUUCCUUGAGGGAAUUGCUUAUAGAAAUUGAAGAAGCAAGUGUUGUAAUUCUUCAGAUCAAGUUUUCCCCUUUUCUCAUUGUUUUACAUUGUUUUACUGUUGAGGUUAAAAGUUUAGGCAUUUUUGUUUCAACUUAAAGGUUUCUAGCUUGAAGUACAGGCAAUGUAAAAUCUAUAUAGUAGACAAUGUAUG